GGUUAAGCGACUAAGCGUACACGGUGGAUGCCCUGGCAGUCAGAGGCGAUGAAGGACGUGCUAAUCUGCGAUAAGCGUCGGUAAGGUGAUAUGAACCGUUAUAACCGGCGAUUUCCGAAUGGGGAAACCCAGUGUGUUUCGACACACUAUCAUUAACUGAAUCCAUAGGUUAAUGAGGCGAACCGGGGGAACUGAAACAUCUAAGUACCCCGAGGAAAAGAAAUCAACCGAGAUUCUCCCAGUAGCGGCGAGCGAACGGGGAGCAGCCCAGAGCCUGAAUCAGUGUGUGUGUUAGUGGAAGCGUCUGGAAAGGCGCGCGAUACAGGGUGACAGCCCCGUACACAAAAAUGCACAUGCUGUGAGCUCGAUGAGUAGGGCGGGACACGUGGUAUCCUGUCUGAAUAUGGGGGGACCAUCCUCCAAGGCUAAAUACUCCUGACUGACCGAUAGUGAACCAGUACCGUGAGGGAAAGGCGAAAAGAACCCCGGCGAGGGGAGUGAAAAAGAACCUGAAACCGUGUACGUACAAGCAGUGGGAGCACGCUUAGGCGUGUGACUGCGUACCUUUUGUAUAAUGGGUCAGCGACUUAUAUUCUGUAGCAAGGUUAACCGAAUAGGGGAGCCGAAGGGAAACCGAGUCUUAACUGGGCGUUAAGUUGCAGGGUAUAGACCCGAAACCCGGUGAUCUAGCCAUGGGCAGGUUGAAGGUUGGGUAACACUAACUGGAGGACCGAACCGACUAAUGUUGAAAAAUUAGCGGAUGACUUGUGGCUGGGGGUGAAAGGCCAAUCAAACCGGGAGAUAGCUGGUUCUCCCCGAAAGCUAUUUAGGUAGCGCCUCGUGAAUUCAUCUCCGGGGGUAGAGCACUGUUUCGGCAAGGGGGUCAUCCCGACUUACCAACCCGAUGCAAACUGCGAAUACCGGAGAAUGUUAUCACGGGAGACACACGGCGGGUGCUAACGUCCGUCGUGAAGAGGGAAACAACCCAGACCGCCAGCUAAGGUCCCAAAGUCAUGGUUAAGUGGGAAACGAUGUGGGAAGGCCCAGACAGCCAGGAUGUUGGCUUAGAAGCAGCCAUCAUUUAAAGAAAGCGUAAUAGCUCACUGGUCGAGUCGGCCUGCGCGGAAGAUGUAACGGGGCUAAACCAUGCACCGAAGCUGCGGCAGCGACACUAUGUGUUGUUGGGUAGGGGAGCGUUCUGUAAGCCUGUGAAGGUGUGCUGUGAGGCAUGCUGGAGGUAUCAGAAGUGCGAAUGCUGACAUAAGUAACGAUAAAGCGGGUGAAAAGCCCGCUCGCCGGAAGACCAAGGGUUCCUGUCCAACGUUAAUCGGGGCAGGGUGAGUCGACCCCUAAGGCGAGGCCGAAAGGCGUAGUCGAUGGGAAACAGGUUAAUAUUCCUGUACUUGGUGUUACUGCGAAGGGGGGACGGAGAAGGCUAUGUUGGCCGGGCGACGGUUGUCCCGGUUUAAGCGUGUAGGCUGGUUUUCCAGGCAAAUCCGGAAAAUCAAGGCUGAGGCGUGAUGACGAGGCACUACGGUGCUGAAGCAACAAAUGCCCUGCUUCCAGGAAAAGCCUCUAAGCAUCAGGUAACAUCAAAUCGUACCCCAAACCGACACAGGUGGUCAGGUAGAGAAUACCAAGGCGCUUGAGAGAACUCGGGUGAAGGAACUAGGCAAAAUGGUGCCGUAACUUCGGGAGAAGGCACGCUGAUAUGUAGGUGAAGUCCCUCGCGGAUGGAGCUGAAAUCAGUCGAAGAUACCAGCUGGCUGCAACUGUUUAUUAAAAACACAGCACUGUGCAAACACGAAAGUGGACGUAUACGGUGUGACGCCUGCCCGGUGCCGGAAGGUUAAUUGAUGGGGUUAGCCGCAAGGCGAAGCUCUUGAUCGAAGCCCCGGUAAACGGCGGCCGUAACUAUAACGGUCCUAAGGUAGCGAAAUUCCUUGUCGGGUAAGUUCCGACCUGCACGAAUGGCGUAAUGAUGGCCAGGCUGUCUCCACCCGAGACUCAGUGAAAUUGAACUCGCUGUGAAGAUGCAGUGUACCCGCGGCAAGACGGAAAGACCCCGUGAACCUUUACUAUAGCUUGACACUGAACAUUGAGCCUUGAUGUGUAGGAUAGGUGGGAGGCUUUGAAGUGUGGACGCCAGUCUGCAUGGAGCCGACCUUGAAAUACCACCCUUUAAUGUUUGAUGUUCUAACGUUGACCCGUAAUCCGGGUUGCGGACAGUGUCUGGUGGGUAGUUUGACUGGGGCGGUCUCCUCCUAAAGAGUAACGGAGGAGCACGAAGGUUGGCUAAUCCUGGUCGGACAUCAGGAGGUUAGUGCAAUGGCAUAAGCCAGCUUGACUGCGAGCGUGACGGCGCGAGCAGGUGCGAAAGCAGGUCAUAGUGAUCCGGUGGUUCUGAAUGGAAGGGCCAUCGCUCAACGGAUAAAAGGUACUCCGGGGAUAACAGGCUGAUACCGCCCAAGAGUUCAUAUCGACGGCGGUGUUUGGCACCUCGAUGUCGGCUCAUCACAUCCUGGGGCUGAAGUAGGUCCCAAGGGUAUGGCUGUUCGCCAUUUAAAGUGGUACGCGAGCUGGGUUUAGAACGUCGUGAGACAGUUCGGUCCCUAUCUGCCGUGGGCGCUGGAGAACUGAGGGGGGCUGCUCCUAGUACGAGAGGACCGGAGUGGACGCAUCACUGGUGUUCGGGUUGUCAUGCCAAUGGCACUGCCCGGUAGCUAAAUGCGGAAGAGAUAAGUGCUGAAAGCAUCUAAGCACGAAACUUGCCCCGAGAUGAGUUCUCCCUGACUCCUUGAGAGUCCUGAAGGAACGUUGAAGACGACGACGUUGAUAGGCCGGGUGUGUAAGCGCAGCGAUGCGUUGAGCUAACCGGUACUAAUGAACCGUGAGGCUUAACCUU
rnacentral:rRNA from 1 species